GUCUACUGCCAUGCCACACUGAACAAGCCUGAUCCCAUCUGAUCUUGGAAGCUAAGCAGGGUUGGGGCUGGUUAGUACUUGGAUAGGAGACCACCUAAGAAGACCAGGUGCUGCAGGUG
rnacentral:rRNA from 1 species